UGGCGAACGGCUGAGUAACACGUGGGCAACCUGCCCCCCGCACCGGGACAGCCUCGGGAAACCGUGGGUAAUACCGGGUACUCCGCCACCCCCGCAUGGGGGAGGCGGGAGAGCGUAUGCGGCGGGGGAUGGGCCCGCGGCCUGUUAGCUAGUUGGCGGGGCAACGGCCCACCAAGGCGAUUAUGGGUAGCUGGGUUGAGAGACCGACCAGCCAGAUUGGGACUGAGACACGGCCCAGACUCCUACGGGAGGCAGCAGUGGGGAAUCUUGCGCAAUGGGGGCAACCCUGACGCAGCGACGCCGCGUGCGGGACGAAGGCCUUCGGGUCGUAAACCGCUUUCAGCAGGGACGAGGCCGAGAGGUGACGGUACCUGCAGAAGAAGCCCCGGCUAACUACGUGCCAGCAGCCGCGGUAAUACGUAGGGGGCGAGCGUUAUCCGGAUUCAUUGGGCGUAAAGCGCUCGUAGGCUGCCCGCUAGGUCCGGGGUCAAAUCCGGGGGCUCAACCCCCGCACGCCCCGGAUACCGGCGGGCUUGAGUCGGGUAGGGGAAGGCGGAAUUCCAGGUGUAGCGGUGGAAUGCGCAGAUAUCUGGAAGAACACCGGUGGCGAAGGCGGCCUUCUGGGCCUCGACUGACGCUGAGGAGCGAAAGCUGGGGGAGCGAACAGGAUUAGAUACCCUGGUAGUCCCAGCCGUAAACGAUGGACGCUAGGUGUGGGGGGAGAUGCCCUCCGUGCCGCAGCCAACGCAUUAAGCGUCCCGCCUGGGGAGUACGGCCGCAAGGCUAAAACUCAAAGGAAUUGACGGGGGCC
rnacentral:rRNA from 1 species